ACGCUCGACACCUACGGGAGGCAGCAGUGGGGAAUAUUGCACAAUGGGGGAAACCCUGAUGCAGCGACGCCGCGUGAGCGAAGAAGUAUUUCGGUAUGUAAAGCUCUAUCAGCAGGGAANAAACUGACGGUACCUGACUAAGAAGCACCGGCUAAAUACGUGCCACAGCCGCGGUAAUCUGAGCGGGCUGGCAAGGC
rnacentral:rRNA from 1 species